GAUGAACGCUAGCGACAGGCUUAACACAUGCAAGUCGAGGGGCAGCAUAAAAGUAGCAAUACUUUGGUGGCGACCGGCGCACGGGUGAGUAACGCGUAUGCAACCUACCUAUCAGAGGGGAAUAACCCGGCGAAAGUCGGACUAAUACCGCAUAAAACAGGGGCACCGCAUGGUGAUAUUUGUUAAAGAAAUUCGCUGAUAGAUGGGCAUGCGUUCCAUUAGGUAGUUGGUGAGGUAACGGCUCACCAAGCCUACGAUGGAUAGGGGAACUGAGAGGUUGGUCCCCCCAACUGGUACUGAGACACGGACCAGACCUCCUACGGGAGCAGCAGUGAGGAAUAUUGGUCAAUGGGCGGGAGCCUGAACCAGCCAAGUCGCGUGAAGGAAGAAGGAUCUAUGGUUCGUAAACUUCUUUUGCAGGGGAAUAAAGUGCAGGACGUGUCCUGUUUUGUAUGUACCCUGAGAUAAGGAUCGGCUAACUCCGUGCCAGCAGCCGCGGUAAU
rnacentral:rRNA from 1 species